ACGAACGCUGGCGGCAGGCCUAACACCUGCAAGUCGAGCGCGCCCUUCGGGGUGAGCGGCGGACGGGUGAGUAACGCGUGGGAACGUGCCCUUCUCUGCGGAAUAGCCUCGGGAAACUGAGAGUAAUACCGCAUACGCCCUUUGGGGGAAAGAUUUAUCGGAGAAGGAUCGGCCCGCGUUGGAUUAGGUAGUUGGUGGGGUAAUGGCCCACCAAGCCGACGAUCCAUAGCUGGUUUGAGAGGAUGAUCAGCCACACUGGGACUGAGACACGGCCCAGACUCCUACGGGAGGCAGCAGUGGGGAAUCUUAGACAAUGGGGGCAACCCUGAUCUAGCCAUGCCGCGUGAGUGAUGAAGGCCUUAGGGUUGUAAAGCUCUUUCAGCUGGGAAGAUAAUGACGGUACCAGCAGAAGAAGCCCCGGCUAACUCCGUG
rnacentral:rRNA from 1 species